ACACGCAUAGCUCAAUGGCAGAGCAGACAGUCAUUGCCUGACGCGGGUUCGAACCCCGCUGCGUGCA
rnacentral:tRNA from 1 species